GCCGAAGUGGCGAAACUGGCAUACGCACGGGACUCAAAAUCCCGCGGGCUCAAACUCAUGUGGGUUCGAAUCCCACCUUCGGCA
rnacentral:tRNA from 1 species